rnacentral:rRNA from 1 species
GCAGCCGCGGUAAUACGGAGGGUGCAAGCGUUAAUCGGAAUUACUGGGCGUAAAGCGCACGCAGGCGGUUUGUUAAGUCAGAUGUGAAAUCCCCGGGCUCAACCUGGGAACUGCAUCUGAUACUGGCGAGCUUGAGUCUCGUAGAGGGGGGUAGAAUUCCAGGUGUAGCGGUGAAAUGCGUAGAGAUCUGGAGGAAUACCGGUGGCGAAGGCGGCCCCCUGGACGAAGACUGACGCUCAGGUGCGAAAGCGUGGG